GCUCAGAGAUGAGCUUGUGCCUUCGGGAACUUAGAGACAGGUGCUGCAUGGCUGUCGUCAGCUCGUGUUGUGAAAUGUUGGGUUAAGUCCCGCAACGAGCGCAACCCUUAUCCUUUGUUGCCAGCGAUUAGGUCGGGAACUCAAAGGAGACUGCCAGUGAUAAACUGGAGGAAGGUGGGGAUGACGUCAAGUCAUCAUGGCCCUUACGAGUAGGGCUACACACGUGCUACAAUGGCGUAUACAGAGGGAAGCGAAGC
rnacentral:rRNA from 1 species